AGAUCUUUCCUAAGAAGAAUUCCCAAAUACCGAAAACCAGCUAUUCCAGAUCUUACCUAAGAAGAAUUCACAAAUACCGAAAACCAGCUAUUCCAGAUUCAACCCCAGAUGUAUCUCGUACUGACCAGCUCACAUUUGUAAUUCGCUAUGUUUUGCCAGAUGGCACCACAGUUGAACGUUUCAUUACAUUUAUACCUAACUGUGGCC